GAGUUUGAUCAUGGCUCAGAUUGAACGCUGGCGGCAUGCUUUACACAUGCAAGUCGAACGGCAGCACGGGGGCAACCCUGGUGGCGAGUGGCGAACGGGUGAGUAAUACAUCGGAACGUGUCCUAUGGUGGGGGAUAACCUGGCGAAAGCCAGGCUAAUACCGCAUAAGCUCGCAAGAGGAAAGCAGGGGACCGCAAGGCCUUGCGCCGAAGGAGCGGCCGAUGUCCGAUUAGCUAGUAGGUAGGGUAAAGGCCUACCUAGGCGACGAUCGGUAGCUGGUCUGAGAGGAUGAUCAGCCACACUGGGACUGAGACACGGCCCAGACUCCUACGGGAGGCAGCAGUAGGGAAUCUUGCGCAAUGGGCGAAAGCCUGACGCAGCCAUGCCGCGUGAAUGAUGAAGGUCUUAGGAUUGUAAAAUUCUUUCACCGGGGAAGAUAAUGACGGUACCCGGAGAAGAAGCCCCGGCUAACUUCGUGCCAGCAGCCGCCGU
rnacentral:rRNA from 1 species